ACGCCGGGAUACCGGCGGCCGGCCCGUGGCGGCCCCGCCCACCGUCCAGACGCCUGGCUCGGAACGCCUAGGGGCGGGGCUGCGUUAGUCCCCAGGUCUUUUGCAUAUUGCCCUUGCAGCUGGAAGGCGAGCGAUAAAAUUAGUCAACAUAUAAGGAUUUUGGAGGUGGUAAGAUAAACGUAAGAUCUUGCCCACUAGCGCUCUUGGCUUUGGCUUUUUGUUCUGUGACCGGGACUGUUCAGUGGGUCCCUCUCUGCUCCCUGGCCCAAGUGAUGUGUACCUGGUCCCUGAAAAAGACUCUGAAACCAAGGGCCUUUGACUAGGGAUCAAAUCUGAGCUGCAGGUGCCAGCAUACGCCACAGCCACAGCAAUGAGGGAUUCACCAACCCAUGCUGAGCAGCACUGGAACUCCCUGAACUCCUAGAACUUUCAACUUUAUUUUCAUUGAUGUAAUUUAUAUUGAAAUAGGUUUUUGUGGCAAGCAGCAAGGCCUAGAGCUCACUCCCACAAUCUGGCAACACACGGCCCAGGAGAGUAAGUGAAGGUUAUUCUUACAAAAAAGGAACACUGCAGGGGACAGAUCUAAAUCUACACCAAAGACACAGAGAAGGACCAGACCCCAGGCCCACCCUUCUGGGGACAGUCCCUUCUGGGGAUAGCUGGGGAAUUUAGACGAGCUAGAUUGCAGAGGAUGCCGUGGGUGUCACUGUUACCUGUCUGAGGUGUGUGGGCUGCUUGAGGUGGGGACCCUGGGCUGGGGCUCACUGCGAAGGUGCUGGAAGGUGGACAGUGAACAAGCCAGGUGGGAAGAGUUUCAGGCAGUGGGUACCGACCGCUAGGGAAAGGGCCCAAGGCAGGACUAGGGCUGAUCAUUGGAGGCAGAACCAGGAGAAGCACCAGGCUUUGGGAGCAGAGUCAGUAAAGGGGAGGUGGAGCCUGGAGGACACCUUUGUGGAAGGGCAAUGGGGCGGCAAGAAUGUCGAAUUGUGAAUAAGGGGAUUGAUACCUGGCCUGAGUUAACAGACUUGAGGUUUCAUUGCUGCUAUAUAUAUACAUAAACUAAAGCCAAUUUUAUUUUAUAAGAAUCUUA